UGGGGAAUAUUGCACAAUGGGCGCAAGCCUGAUGCAGCCAUGCCGCGUGUGUGAAGAAGGCCUUCGGGUUGUAAAGCACUUUCAGCGAGGAGGAAGGUGGUGAACUUAAUACGUUCAUCAAUUGACGUUACUCGCAGAAGAAGCACCGGCUAACUCCGUGCCAGCAGCCGCGGUAAUACGGAGGGUGCAAGCGUUAAUCGGAAUUACUGGGCGUAAAGCGCACGCAGGCGGUUUGUUAAGUCAGAUGUGAAAUCCCCGGGCUCAACCUGGGAACUGCAUUUGAAACUGGCAAGCUAGAGUCUCGUAGAGGGGGGUAGAAUUCCAGGUGUAGCGGUGAAAUGCGUAGAGAUCUGGAGGAAUACCGGUGGCGAAGGCGGCCCCCCUGGACGAAGACUGACGCUCAGGUGCGAAAGCGUGGGGAGCAAACAGGAUUAGAUACCCCGGUAGUCACGCUGUAAACGAUGUCGAUUUGGAGGUUGUGCCCCUUGAGGCGUGGNUUCCGGAGCUAACGCGUUAAAUCGACCGCCUGGGGAG
rnacentral:rRNA from 1 species